UACGGGGGGGGCAAGCGUUGUUCGGAAUUACUGGGCGUAAAGGGCUCGUAGGCGGCCAACUAAGUCCGACGUGAAAUCCCCAAGCUUAACUUGGGAACUGCGUCGGAUACUGGAUGGCUUGAAUUCGGGAGAGGGAUGCAGAAUUCCAGGUGUAGCGGUGAAAUGCGUAGAUAUCUGGAGGAAUACCGGUGGCGAAGGCGGCAUCCUGGACCGACAUUGACGCUGAUGAGCGAAAGCUAGGGGAGCAAGCGGG
rnacentral:rRNA from 1 species